rnacentral:misc_RNA from 1 species
UCCGACUUAAAGGUCGGCAGUCCCGUUAGAGUGCCCAACUUAAUGCUGGCAACUAACGGCAAGGGUUGCGCUCGUUGCGGGACUUAACCCAACAUCUCACGACACGAGCUGACGACAGCCAUGCACCACCUGUGAGAGUGCCCCGAAGGGAGGCCGUGUUUCCACGGCUGUCACUCACAUGUCAAGCCCAGGUAAGGUUCUUCGCGUUGCGUCGAAUUAAACCACAUGCUCCGCUGCUUGUGCGGGUCCCCGUCAAUUCCUUUGAGUUUUAGCCUUGCGGCCGUACUCCCCAGGCGGGGCACUUAAUGCGUUAGCGCCGGCACGGGGGGAGUCGACACCCCCCACACCUAGUGCCCAUCGUUUAGGGCGUGGACUAC